GGAUUGAACGCUGGCGGCAUGCCUUACACAUGCAAGUCGAACGGCAGCACGGGGGCAACCCUGGUGGCGAGUGGCGAACGGGUGAGUAAUACAUCGGAACGUGUCCUUUCGUGGGGGAUAACCAGUCGAAAGACUGGCUAAUACCGCAUGAGAUCUCACGAUGACAGCGAGGGACCGCAAGGCCUCGCGCGAAUGGAGCGGCCGAUGUCGGAUUAGCUAGUUGGCGGGUAAGAGCCACCAAGGCGACGAUCCGUAGCUGGUUUGAGAGAACGACCAGCCACACUGGGACUGAGACACGGCCCAGACUCCUACGGGAGGCAGCAGUGGGGAAUUUGGACAAUGGGCGCAAGCCUGAUCCAGCCAUGCCGCGUGUGUGAAGAAGGCCUC
rnacentral:rRNA from 1 species